ACAGACUAGAGCCAGAAACAAUCGCGAAAACAAAUGGAACGAUCGCGAAAAUAAAGGGAACGAUCGCGAUUGUAACGCAAGGACGUCGUCGCCGGCAUCGCCAACCAGGAGUGAUUGCAAAUCAGUGCCGCCGUUGCACUUUGCCGGAGAGCCGGCCGAUCGCGAGCCACUGCCUUCUGCCGUCGAGCAACGCCACCGUUUCCAUCGCUGAUCAUCGGAUCAAGGCGCGGCCGCACAAAAUCGCCGGAACAGAUCCGGAGAGGGGAAUCGAAAAGGUUGCAGGGAAAGAGUAAAGGGAUACAGAGAACAAAGAAUAGGGAGAAAUUGUUUCAUUCCAUUGUACAUGUACAAGUUACAAAGGACAUAUAUAUAUAACACUAGUAAUAAUAAUAAUCACCGUUACAACAGUUACAAAAUAA